AGAGUUCGAUCCUGGCUCAGGAUGAACGCUGGCGGCGUGCCUAACACAUGCAAGUCGAACGAGAUGCGUAUUGGAAAGCUUCGGCCGGAAGAUACGUUAUCUAGUGGCGGACGGGUGAGUAACACGUGGGUAACCUGCCUUAUGGAGGGGGAUAACAGAGAGAAAUCACUGCUAAUACCGCAUAAGCACACAGUACCGCAUGGUACAGGGUGAAAAGAUUUAUCGCCAUAAGAUGGACCCGCGUCUGAUUAGCCAGUUGGCAGGGUAAAAGCCUACCAAAGCAACGAUCAGUAGCCGAUCUGAGAGGAUGACCGGCCACAUUGGGACUGAGACACGGCCCAAACUCCUACGGGAGGCAGCAGUGGGGAAUAUUGCACAAUGGGGGAAACCCUGAUGCAGCGACGCCGCGUGAGUGAAGAAGUAUUUCGGUAUGUAAAGCUCUAUCAGCAGGGAAGAUAAUGACAGUACCUGACUAAGAAGCCCCGGCUAACUACGUGCCAGCAGCCGCGGUAAUACGUAGGGGGCAAGCGUUAUCCGGAUUUACUGGGUGUAAAGGGAGCGUAGACGGAAUGGCAAGUCUGAAGUGAAAACCCCGGGCUCAACCUGGGGACUGCUUUGGAAACUGUUGUUCUAGAGUGUUGGAGAGGUAAGUGGAAUUCCUGGUGUAGCGGUGAAAUGCGUAGAUAUCAGGAAGAACACCGGAGGCGAAGGCGGCUUACUGGACAAUAACUGACGUUGAGGCUCGAAAGCGUGGGGAUCAAACAGGAUUAGAUACCCUGGUAGUCCACGCUGUAAACGAUGAAUACUAGGUGUCGGGGUGCAAAGCAUCUCGGUGCCGUCGCUAACGCAAUAAGUAUUCCACCUGGGGAGUACGUUCGCAAGAAUGAAACUCAAAGGAAUUGACGGGGACCCGCACAAGCGGUGGAGCAUGUGGUUUAA
rnacentral:rRNA from 1 species